rnacentral:misc_RNA from 1 species
CCGAGUUUACAACUCCCAAACCCCUGUGAACAUAUCUUUAUGUUGCCUCGGCGGAUCAGCCCGCGCCCCGGUAAUAAACGGGACGGCCCGCCGCAGGAAACCCUAAACUCUGUUUUUAGUGGAACUUCUGAGUAUAAUAAAAAACAAAAUAAAUCA